CGUUGGGUCAUUGUCUCAAAACAGGUAUUCUUUUGCACUUCUGCUUUGAUCUCCAUUGCCUUUAGAGAGUGUCUGAGACACGUUGGCUUUUUUGGUUCGAAGUAUUUAGGUAACUUCGCGGAUCUCCACCUUCUCGAUACGAUCGGCGUAUGCGAGAAGGGCUCGCGCGAUCAUUCGGAUUACUUCGAAGCCUCCACCGCGGUGGAAGCUUCCAUUUGCGAUAUUUCACGUAUUUGCAGAUAUCGUGCUAUCAGUUCGACAGAACGCGGUACUGUUGGGCUCACGACUCCGCGUGAGUCUUAGUUCUCUUCGAGAACUCCGCUGCCAGGGACGCAGCAGCUCUCACGCGAGCCACGCUCGCUAUUGCUCCGCUGCCAGGGACGCAGCACUCACGCGAACCCAGUUCGCUGGUAAGUCAAAUCAAGACAUACGUCGUCGCAUCCGCGACUCAACACGCGAGUGACACUCGUUUCUACGUCUCAACGAGAGUUACCGUUAGUCACACAUGCGGUAUUAUCGACGCAAGUCAUGGUCACAUAUAAUGAUGCAUUUUCAUGGGCGUCAGUUGACGCUCAAAACGAGCGUCAAGACGCUCGGGUAAGGUUAGAUUAGUAGAAAUAGCGUCGAGAUUUUGACGCUCAAUGAAAAAGGUUUUCAUGCGUCAGUUUCUGGAAUUCGCGUCAAAAAGUAGAUACAUAUAGGCUGCGUUCCUUUAUUUACUGCGAGUACUGACGCUAUGACGUCAUGAAAGUGUACUGCUAGUAGCGUUCCGUUUUAACUUGGAGAACUAUUAAGGUGUUGCAAAGUUACAAAUCGGAACGAACCACAGUAUGCUUCGUGAAGCUUGUGUUUAUAGUUAGUGUUUCGGUUUAACCGCCGGCAUAUUAAGACGUGUCUGAACGUGUCUGAACGUGUCUGAACGUGUCUGAACGUGUUUGAACGUGUUCAGACGUGAUUUUUGGAAGUUGCCUUUGGAACCUACCAAGGCCCUACUCAUUCAUAUCUUUUUUCUUAAAUUUCCAAAUCGUCAAAGCGUGAGAUAUUUUACCUAAAUUCAUCUUUUGUUGUCUCUUACAUCUACGAUCGAAAUCUGAAAUCUAGCCAAAUAUCUAUUCUACAUACGAUGGAAGCACUGUUCGGGAGUAAUGGCGUAAAGUCACUCACAGGAAAAGUGUGCUCAGCCAAACAUUGAAACUGAAAUUUAUGUUUAUAGUUUGCGUGCUCGUGCAUUUUACAAACAUGAGUGAAAAGUCAAAUACUAAUAUGACUAUAAUUGCAUUAAUUGCAAGUAAUAGAAGAAUACGUAGAUGACGAAUCAAGCGAAAGCGAUUCGGACAUAGAAAUAGUAAAACAGUUAGUUGUACAAUCUCGGGUGCCACGAAUAAAGUGCAAAAAUUAUGUGGAAAAUAUUGUGACAGCAUACACUGAUAUGGAUUUUAAAAUGCAUUUUCGGUAAGUUAUUAAACACAAUGUUAAAAACUUAAUUGUACAUUAAAAUCACAAUUAUAUUUCUUAGAUUUCUAGAUUUAUUUGUAUUUACAACAUAUUUUACGAAGUAAUGUUUUAAAGACUAAACGUGUAUUUAUAUAUAUUAUUUAGUACAUAUUAAGUUCUCAAAAGUUAAUAAUUAAAAAUAAAGAUCAAUUAUUACUACAUAUAGGAUGACACGUACUACAUUCAUAUUUUUAUUAGAAUUAUUAUCUCCACAUUUGAAUAAAUAUUCAGACACAUGUGGACGUCUUCCAAUAUCUCCAGAGAAACAAUUAUUAGUAGCCAUUUGGAUGAUGGCAACACCUAAUUCAUAUAGUAAUAAAAGAAUACGUAGAUGACGAAUCAAGCGAAAGCGAUUCGGACAUAGAAAUAGUAAAACAGUUAGUUAUACAAUCUCGGGUGCCACGAAUAAAGUGCAAAAAUUAUGUGGAAAAUAUUGUGACAGCAUACACUGAUAUGGAUUUUAAAAUGCAUUUUCGAUGCAUAAGUGAUAGAUUUGGUAUUGGAAAGGCGACAGCUUGGAGAAGCGUACUAAAAGUUGUAUCUGGUUUAUACUAUCAUUUACAUACAUUUAUAAAAUGGCCAUCAGCAGAAGAAGUAAAAGUUACAUGGACAUAUAUGAAAAGGAAAUAUGGAUUCCCCAAAGUAAUAGGUGCAAUUGACGGAACGCAUAUACGUAUUGCAGCUCCACAAAUUAAUCCUGAGUGCUACGUGAACAGGAAAGGUUACCAUUCGCUACAGUUACAGGUACAGAAAGUGUAUAUUUAUUACUAAACACAAUAUUAGUAAUAAAUAAAUAUUAGUAAUAAAUAAAUAAAUAAAUAAA